UCUUUAGAAACCCUAAAUGAAUCUCUUCGACAACUCCUCCCUUGGCCGUUUCCCCUUCCUCAACGGAUCGAUCAAUGGACACCGUAUUCAUUAGUGAGCAAUGAAUCCUCUGAGUUUCUCAUUAAUGGACUCCUUUCGCCUUAUCCUCUCUACCUCUCUUUAUAAGUCUCUUCUUUUCACAGAAUUGUUACAGAAAAAAAAAAAACACUCAAACGAUGAAUUCCAGCAGAAAAUUCCAAAACGAUCUUACCGCGAAUAAACCAAACGGAAAAGACGUUGUCUCCUCAGAAGUCUCCGGCGAUCCUAAGUGGAAGAAACCAAACGGCAAAUCCGUUGACUCCUCCGCCGAGCCGCUAUGUUCAAUGAUAAAAAAAAAAGGAAGAGGUCGUCUCAACUGGAGAUCUUCCCACGCUCAUCUCAGACUCCAACGAGCAGGUAACUCAUGAUUUCACUAUACUUUAUUACUCAGAUCAAAAUUGAAACAACUAAUGGUAGUCACCUCCGCUACUGACUGCUGAAAAAAGAAAAAAGAAAAAAGAUCAAAGCUUUAUUAUUAUUAUUUUCUCUUUUCUUCUUUGUAUGACUGCGAAAGAUUUUUCAUUCUGUGUAUUAACUGAUAGUUCAACCGAUUGCUUUAUAACUACGAUGUUAUCUUAUAUUUUCUUCUCUUCGUUUUUGUUCUCUGUUUCUUUUUGUGUGAAUCUAAUUGAUAAAAAUGUUCCUCUUGGACAUGUAAACUGGUUUCUGACUGGUGCUUGAAGCCCUUGAAGAUAUACCUCUGUAUAUUGACUUCUCUCUAUGAAAAAUUACUCUUCUAAAAGGAUGAGAGCAGUUUUCUAUUUUCAGAAAAUGAUCAUACCGUCGGAAGCUCGAUGGAGAGCUGGAAGAUGCAGAGCAAAAGGUCCCGGAAAUUAGGAAGACAGAUAACAACGUGUGUGAGUUGUCUAUGAUACAAGAACCGGCAACUAAUGGGGUAAAGAGAAUGAUGGAAACCAUGGAGAUUCUAAUGACGCUGAAUGAGUUGAUAACAUCAAUGCCGACAGUGGUUUUCCUGAGGCAGAGUAUCCUGGUGACGAUAUUCCUGGAGCUGGAGCUGGAGCUGUUACAACAAAGCUCUCUCGAGGUGUGACCAGGGAAGCCCCAGAAACAAGCAUUUGGGAUGGUAGAAGGAACUACAACCGCCACAGCUGUCUUACCUCCUGAACCUGUUCCAAGUGGAUUCACUGCUGGGAGGUCACCGCUGCAGGAAGACACGUUGCUGCUGUUUUUUUUCUCCUUUUUCUUUCCUUUCUCACUGUGAAAUAUUGAUUUAAAUGUUUACAAAUUGAACUCCCUCCAGAAUAAAAUUAGACUCAUGUACGUGAUCGAUGUACAGUCCCAGACUGUUGAAGCAUUAUUCAGCCAA